rnacentral:rRNA from 1 species
UAAGGAAUAUUGGACAAUGGAGGCAACUCUGAUCCAGCCAUGCCGCGUGAAGGAAUAAGGCCCUAUGGGUUGUAAACUUCUUUUAGACGGGACAAAACCCCUUUACGUGUAAAGGGUUGAUGGUACUGUCAGAAUAAGCAACGGCUAACUUCGUGCCAGCAGCCGCGGUAAUACGAAGGAUGCAAGCGUUAUCUGGAAUUAUUGGGUUUAAAGGGUGCGUAGGCGGACUAAUAAGUCAGUGGUGAAAGCCUGCAGCUUAACUGCAGAAUUGCCAUUGAUACUGUUAGUCUUGAGUACAGUUGAGGUAGGCGGAAUGUGUCAUGUAGCGGUGAAAUGCUUAGAUAUGACACAGAACACCGAUUGCGAAGGCAGCUUGCUAAGCUGUAACUGACGCUGAGGCACGAAAGCGUGGGGAGCAAAC